UGGCGGACGGGUGAGUAGCGCGUGGGUAACCUGCCUCAUACAGGGGGAUAACAGUUAGAAAUGACUGCUAAUACCGCAUAAGACCACAGUACCGCAUGGUACAGGGGUAAAAACUCCGGUGGUAUGAGAUGGACCCGCGUCUGAUUAGGUAGUUGGUGGGGUAACGGCCUACCAAGCCGACGAUCAGUAGCCGACCUGAGAGGGUGACCGGCCACAUUGGGACUGAGACACGGCCCAA
rnacentral:rRNA from 1 species